GUAGAAGCUCUUCAUGUUGACAGACACUUGCAGGACAACCACUGUCGGGCAGCCGUGGUGAAUAUUUGUCAAGAUGGGAGUGCCCAGCUCAGGCCCCUCCAGGAUGGUUGGUGAGUCAUUGCCACGGAGGCCAUGAGCCCUUGGGUCCCUCACUCACCUUCACCUCAGAGAGGACAGAAAAACUCAACUUACCGCAUGCUGCAGUACACCAAGCUGGGACUACAGGUUUGGAGUUUUCUUGGGGAUAUUUUCAUCUCUCCCUAACUCAGUGGGUGGAGUUGAGCUGCUGUGAUCUAGGACAGCUGACCCACCAGCCCUUCUAGAUCUGCGGAAGUCCGGCCAAAAGGAGGACACAAUACCACUUGCGUGCUUUCUGAGUUCAAAGAGACUUGAAGUCAAGGAAAUGCAUCUGAGGUCAUCAUUCAGUGUACAUCUAGUAAGCAUCCUGGAAAUAGUCUGCCUGGACAAGAAGGAGCUCCAGUGGGCAUGGGAACAUGGUGGAGCCAGACCAGGAUUAAAGGCAGUUUGAGAGGCCAUCCAUUAGGACUUGGAGGGAGCAGGGGAGAGAACAUCCAGGAAAGAGAAGGUAGGGGCCUUCUACUAAAAGAGAACUACCUCCUCUCUCCCCAGCAGUCCGGUCCCCAUCCCCAGAUGAAUGAGGUAAUAAUAAUAUCUGCAAUGCAAUUGCAUGCUUACUCUGUAUCAGGAACAGUUUCAGAGCUCUGCAUGCAUUAUCUCAUGUGACAGUAAACCUCUGAUGAGGUACUUCAACCUUAUUUUACAGACAAAGAAACUGAGGCACAGAGAAUGAAGCAACAGUUAAACCAGUGAAAAACCUAACAAAUUUCAAGAUUCUAAGUGCUUUUUUCCCAGAUGCCAGUAAGUGCAGAGGAACUAUGAUAGCCCAAGGUGUUAACUCCUGUUUGCACUCAUGUUAACACAUUUACUUCCCCCUUCUUUCCUCCUUAUUUUUAUGAACUCCAUUGCUUUUACAGCCUGUAUUUUAAGCCUCCUCAAACCCUGUUGGAAUGGGAAAGGGCAUUGCUAGGAGACUUGUGUCUGAGACCGGCCCCAGUUUCCCCAGAGCAGGAAGAGGCAGGAAGCCAGAGUACAUGUCCUCUCCAGAAAUAAAGUUGAUAGUGUCCUGACCAUG